UAAAAAAAAGGCCUCAUUCAUUGGAUUCGCCUUAGGCCCCAGAAUGUAUUGAGCCGCCCCUGUGCAGAUCCAAUGCAUUCCAUAUAGUUUUUGGGUUUGGGCGGAGUGAUCUGUGGACUGGUAGAUCAGGUCCAAUCUGAUAUUUGGUCAUGCCAUGCCUAAUUCUGUGAGAUCAUUGCCCAUGCCAAUCACAGUUCAGGUGUUAUUUUGUGACUCAAAGGUUGAUUUUUGCAUACAGGUAGGGUAAAGGUCCGGUUAGAUGAGGGUCAGAUCUGGCUGAGAUAAGGAAGAAGACUUAAAAAAAUGCUCCAAACAGAAUGGAAAAGAACUUAAAAUUUUGUGGAUUAUAUGGAUCAAAUAAAUGGACAUGCUAACCAACUGUGCAGCCAAACAUGAAGUUGAUGAACACCCAAGUGGGGCUAAUUAGAUAUAUAUGAAGUUGGCUGAUCCUUG
rnacentral:lncRNA from 1 species